rnacentral:rRNA from 1 species
UCUGGUGCCAAUGGCAAAGAGGUCACACCUGUUCCCAUGCCGAACACAGAAGUUAAGCUCUUUAGCGCCGAUGGUAGUCGGACU